rnacentral:rRNA from 1 species
UACGAGGGGGGCAAGCGUUGUCCGGAAUCAUUGGGCGUAAAGAGCGCGUAGGCGGCCCUGUAAGUCCGCUGUGAAAGUCAAGGGCUCAACCCUUGGAUGCCGGUGGAUACUGCAGGGCUAGAGUCCGGAAGAGGCGAGUGGAAUUCCUGGUGUAGCGGUGAAAUGCGCAGAUAUCAGGAGGAACACCGAUGGCGAAGGCAGCUCGCUGGGACGGUACUGACGCUGAGGCGCGAAAGCGUGGGGAGCAAACAGG